AAUUGGAUAGCUCAAUUGGGUAGAGCAUCGGACUGUUAAUCCGAGUGUUGCGGGUUCGAUUCCCGCUCCAAACA
rnacentral:tRNA from 1 species